rnacentral:rRNA from 1 species
UACGUAGGGUGCGAGCGUUGUCCGGAAUUUAUUGGGCGUAAAGAGCUUGUAGGCGGUUUGUCGCGUCUGCCGUGAAAGCCCCCGGGCUCAACCUGGGAAUUGCAUUCGAGACUGUGUCGCUAGGGUGCGGAAGAGGGAAGCGGAAUUUCCGGUGUAGCGGUGAAAUGCGUAGAUAUCGGAAGGAACAUCAGUGGCGAAAGCGGGCUUCC